GUCACGCACAGCAGCCUGGAAGGAGCUGGCAUUUGUUGGGAAAGGGCAAAAAGACCAGCCAGAAGGCCACUGAGGACCCGCUCUGGUGUCCAGGGAGCUGAGGGCCCUGGGGGAGGAGGGCAGGAAUGGUCUUUACACCAGUUCUCCCCGCUUCUGUGCCAGGGGCCUUGGAUCCAUGAUGAGGAGGCUGGAAAUGAUUGGAGAGUGAGACCAGUCAAGGCCUUGAUGUAUUGCAUAACAUCCUCUAAUCCUAGGGAAGGGUCAAAGAUAGAAGCCAAAUGAUCAUACCAAUGAAACACAUUUCUAGACCAUCGGUGUUAAAGAUGGGGGUCCAAAGAUGAGGGUUUGAGACAGUGACAGAUGCCAUUCCAUACCAUAUGGAGAAGAGUCCUGGUGAGGACAAGUACACUCCUUCUAAUGGCUCAGUGCCUUCAUUUGGGAAAGGAACUGACUCUGACCCCAUAUUACACUGCUCUGGGCAGAUAAGUAAACUGGGAC
rnacentral:lncRNA from 1 species